AUACGGAGGGUGCGAGCGUUGUUCGGAAUUAUUGGGCGUAAAGAGCAUGUAGGCGGUCUGUUAAGUCUGGUGUGAAGGCCCGGGGCUCAACCCCGGAAGUGCAUUGGAUACUGGCAGACUUGAGUAUGGGAGAGGAAAGCGGAAUUCCGAGUGUAGGAGUGAAAUCCGUAGAUAUUCGGAGGAACACCAGUGGCGAAGGCGGCUUUCUGGACCAAUACUGACGCUGAGAUGCGAAAGCGUGGGGAGCAAACAGGAUUAGAAACCCUAGUAGUCC
rnacentral:rRNA from 1 species